rnacentral:rRNA from 1 species
GACGAACGCUGGCGGCGUGCUUAACACAUGCAAGUCGAACGGAAAGGCCCUGCUUUUGUGGGGUGCUCGAGUGGCGAACGGGUGAGUAACACGUGAGUAACCUGCCCUUGACUUUGGGAUAACUUCAGGAAACUGGGGCUACUACCGGAUAGGAGCUCCUGCUGCAUGGUGGGGGUUGGAAAGUUUCGGCGGUCGGAGAUUGACUCGCGGCUUAUCCGCUUGUUGGUGGGGUAGUGGCUUACCAAGGCUUCGACGGGUAGCCGGCCUGAGAGGGUGACCGGCCACAUUGGGACUGAGAUACGGCCCAGACGCCUACGGGAGGCAACAGUGGGGAAUAGUGCACAAUGGGCGGAAGCCUGAUGCAGAAACGCCACGUGCGGGAUGACGGCCUUCGGGUUGUAAACCGCUUUCGCCUGUGACGAAGCGUGAGUGACGGUAAUGGGUAAAGAAGCACCGGCUAACUACGUG